rnacentral:rRNA from 1 species
UCUCCUCCCCCCAAUCAAUGAAACUGAUCUCUCCGUGAAGAAGCGGAGAUUCAACUAUAAGACGAGAAGACCCCAUGGAGCUUUAAACCUGACUACACCCUUAUUCAUUAUACCUCCUUAAUCAACAGGACCCUGUCUGUCAGUUUUAGGUUGGGGUGACCACGGAGUACAAAUAAACCUCCACGAUGAACCGGACUAAUCCGUUAUCUAAGAUAAACACCUCAAAGAAUUAGCAUACUAACAUAAAAUGAUCCGACACUCGAUCAACGAACCAAGUUACCCUGGGGAUAACAGCGCAAUCUACUUCAAGAGUCCAUAUCGACAAGUAGGUUUACGACCUCGAUGUUGG